AAAUGUUGUACGUUCCUGUUGGCUCACCUACUUAAGUCAGUUUCUCCGCACUGAAAGCAGAUGCGGCUGCGGCGCUAACAAAUAGUGUAUUUUCCUGCUAGCUAACUUUGCUAGCGCCACGAGCAUCAUGUCGACGGCAGAAGGGACAUUAUCAUCCGUUGCUUAGUUGAGUAUCUUGGAGAGAGUGGAGAGGAGCUGAUCAAAGACUAUCAGGACGUCAGCCAAGAAGCAGUGAAAGAGGACUGCAGUAAUCACAUGAUGCAGAUCAACGUCAUCCAUCCCAAUGUGGCACAGGAAAACCAAGAUCCUGUGUAUGUGUCAGUCAUCAUCAAGUGUGACAAACGCUUGCCUCCUGCUCAUGGGUGUCAUCUAUGCUGUAAACUUAAGUUACCCACUUAAACUGAAAUAUACGUUUGAAGUAUUUCAGAAGCUGUUUCUUGAGCUUGACGUCAUUACAAUGUCACCAAAGGUCCAGUUUCUCCACAAUAAACUUUUAGCGUGAGUGUUCCAGUGCUAUUUGUGCUUUUGUCCAGCACAAACAAUCUCUUUACUUUUGUCAUUUUUCUGACUGAAAUUUCAAGUUUUGCUUAGUUUUUAAGUUAUUUCUGUCCUGAACAUCCUGAGAAUGUCUGCAAAGGUAGCCAUUGCAGUUUAUGUAUGCAUUCUUUGCUGUUCUGAAAAGUCAACUGUAACACUGUAUUCGUUUGUAUGCUGGAAUAUCAGUCCUAAAGUCAGUUGGUGCUUUGUCAUUCCGCAUUGAAUUUUUCAAAUCCUAAACGGCUUUACUUUUGAGCUUUUGUGUGUGUGUGUGUGUGUGUGUGUGUGUACACUGUUUUCAAAUUUGCUAGCAGGAAGUUCUGUGU
ensembl:lncRNA